rnacentral:rRNA from 1 species
ACUGCUAUCGGGGUUCGACUAAGCCAUGCAAGUCGAGAGGGGUAAAGCCCUCGGCGAACUGCUCAGUAACACGUGGAUAACCUGACCUAGGGAGGGGGAUAACCCCGGGAAACUGGGGAUAAUACCCCAUAGGCUACGGAGGCUGGAAUGCCCUGUAACCGAAAGCUCCGGCGCCCUAGGAUGGGUCUGCGGCCGAUUAGGUUGUUGUUGGGGUAACGGCCCAACAAGCCGAUCAUCGGUACGGGUUGUGGGAGCAAGAGCCCGGAGAUGGAUUCUGAGACAUGAAUCCAGGCCCUACGGGGCGCAGCAGGCGCGAAAACUUUACAAUGCGGGAAACCGUGAUAAGGGGACCCCGAGUGCCUGUACACGCAGGCUGUUCAGGUGUUUAAAACGCAUCUGGAGAAAGGGCCGGGCAAGACCGGUGCCAGCCGCCGCGGUAAUACCGGCGGCUCGAGUGGUGGCCACUAUUACUGGGCUUAAAGCGUCCGUAGCCGGGUUGUUAA